CUGCAGUUUGUGUGAACAUAACUGUAUAUAAAUAUUAUACUUUUACACUAUGAAAUUGAAGGAUUAAACGAAAUCAAAUUUAUUUAAGAAGUUGACAGGAUUCCAAUGUAAAUCCUGAUUCAUAUAAAUGUCACGUGUUAAAGCGGUAAAUUGAUUUCUUCUACAAAAAACAACAAAUAUAAUUUUGCGUAGCAAACUUAAGGAAAUGAAAUAUAGAAUAAAAGUUACAAAGCAAGUGUAAAAACCGGGGCGUAGCGAAAAAGAACGGAGAAAGGAAAGCAUGGUUGACAGAGGCGAAAUCAGCAGGAAGUCAUGGUGCAAGUAUAAAAAAGUAUACCGACGCUAGAAUGUGUGCUUAUGCGCUGUUAUAACCAGCAGUAAAAGCGAACUAAUAUGGAAUGGAAAUAUUUUCUUUACAAAGCGUUUCGUCGAGGUGCCGGUAAACUACAAGCAUGGAAAGUACUUAAGAGCUAUAUUCUCAGAACUAAAGUGGAAAAGAAGUGGAUCCCAAAAUAUGCAAGUAAGGGUGCUAAGCAUUAAAUUUCACAACCAGGAUGGUAGAGAAGGUCUUUAUAGGAUCUGGUGUGCAUCACACCCCUUUAGGUGAAAUUCUAAAUCUUAGAAAUUACCCGACCGAUUUCAUCUAAAUUUAGUCUAUACAAUUACCCAAACAUUCCUAUUAGACACUGCAAAAAUGUGCGAAAUAAAAUGCCAACCACGUCCAAUUCCGAUUUAACAAACUUUCAAAUUCCGCGUGAUUCUUUCACUUAACAGCAUACAAAUGAAAUAUCAAUAAAGUUAUCAGAGUAAAACUUUGCACUUUUAA